GAUGAAGAACGUAGUGAAAUGCGAUAAGUAAUGUGAAUUGCAGAAUUCAGUGAAUCAUCGAAUCUUUGAACGCACAUUGCGCCCUUUGGUAUUCCAAAGGGCAUGCCUGUUCGAGCGUCAUUUGUACCCUCAAGCUUUGCUUGGUGUUGGGCGUCUUGUCUCUAGCUUUGCUGGAGACUCGCCUUAAAGUAAUUGGCAGCCGGCCUACUGGUUUCGGAGCGCAGCACAAGUCGCACUCUCUAUCAGCAAAGGUCUAGCAUCCACUAAGCCUUUUUUUCAACUUUUGACCUCGGAUCAGGUAGGGAUACCCGCUGAACUUAAGCAUAUCAAUAAGCGGAGGA
rnacentral:misc_RNA from 1 species